UAGUGAGUCAGCCGGUGAAGUGCAACAACGCAUUUAAACAAAACAGGAAAACAAGUUUUAGUGGGUGGCGUAUUAGUACGGCUCAGUUUUAAAUACAAAGUAAUCUUGGCCGGUCGCUUGAGGAACAGUUUACGACAAAAGAUGGCAAAUUUCUUUUCAAAUCUUUAUGCCAAGAUUUUCGGCAAAUCACCGAUUAGAAUUUUAAUUUUGGGUCUGAAUGCAGGUGUGGGCAAAACAACUGUUUUAUAUAGGCUGAAAGAUGGCACCACCAUUGACAGUACUCACACAGUUGGAUUCAACUUGGAAACUGUGAAACAUAACAAUAUCAGUUAUGAGUUGUGGGACAUUGGUGGUGGUGACAAAAUAACACCUUUGUGGAAUCAGUACUUCCAGAAUACCAAGGCAAUAAUAUUUGUAGUUGAUUCAACUGAUAAGGAGCGACUGGACGUUGUAGAGCAGGAACUGCAUAGACUGCUGACUGAAAAAGAGCUUGAACAUUGUCCAAUCUUGGUGCUGGCCAACAAGCAAGACUUGCCAGAUGCUAUUAGUGUAGACGAGCUGAAGAAAGCAUUGAAGUUGGACCAAUGGAAGAACCGUACUAUCCAUGUACAAUCUGCCGUUGCCAAUCAGGGGACUGGAGUGACUGAGGGUUUUGAUUGGCUUUGCGCUGAACUUGCGAAGUCGGAAAAGUAGAUUUUAAGUUCCUUCGCAUUGAUCUGAAUUAUGCCCUUGGCUUGGUAGAACACACAUUAUUGAUAUCAAAAAUAAUUGAAAUAUGAAUGUAAUUGUUCUGAUGACCAAUAGACCAGGUACAGCUGACGUCAAAAGUGUGUUUACAUUUUUCGCCUUAUUACAAAGGAGUAAGGUGUAAAAAAGUAAACACACCUCUGAAGUCGACUGUACCACCGUCCACACAGUUAACUGACAAUUUGUAAACAUGAGGUCUUACAUAAUGGUUAGUAAAUAAUACUGUAUUACCAAUAUUAUCUAAUUGUGGCUCUAGUGGAAAGGGGUACAAGUCUCGGGCAGUGUAGGUAAAAAGGGUGUAAGUGCCAUAAAACAUUUGUGCCUUUUUACACCUGAGCUGCGCGUGAUUUGCAACCCUUUCUACUAGGGUCACUAUCGUACCAACCAAGGGUAUAAAUUUCGUAUUCAUGUUUAAGUGAUAAUAUAGGUAUAAUCAGCGCUUAUUUUUUUUAUUAUCUAAAUUGUGUUCUAAAACAAUUCGUGUAUUACGGGCAGAGUGACUGAAUACUAGCACAAACUGCUAGCUGACUGUUGAAUUUAAUAUAGACUGAUUGAGACUUGUAGUCAUGCAUGUAAGAAAAAUAAAAUUUUAUGUUUUUUUAUGUUUUUAUUUUACUUUUUAUGUUGAUAUUUAUUAAACUUUUCUAAUAUUUUUAAGUUAUAUUUAAUAAAACUAUUGGCUAACA